UAAGACAAACCGUGCGAACGUUGUUCGGAAUCACUGGGCUUAAAGGGCGCGUAGGCGGGCGAUCCCGUCCGGGGUGAAAUCUUUCGGCUUAACCGGAAAAUUGCCUUGGAGACCGAUCGUCUGGAGGGAGGUAGGGGCAGGUGGAACUUCCGGUGGAGCGGUGAAAUGCGUUGAUAUCGGAAGGAACGCCGGUGGCGAAAGCGACCUGCUGGACCUUUUCUGACGCUGAGGCGCGAAAGCUAGGGGAGCGAACGGGAUUAGAUACCCCGGUAGUCCUAGCCCUAAACGAUGGGUACUAGGUAGUGGACUUGACAUGGGUUCCCUGCCGAAGCAAAAGUGUUAAGUACCCCGCCUGGGGAGUAUGGUCGCAAGGCUG
rnacentral:rRNA from 1 species